AUACAGGAUUUUUUAAAAUCCUCUGUCUUUUUUAAAAAAUUGAAGU
rfam:Sus scrofa isolate TJ Tabasco breed Duroc chromosome 16, whole genome shotgun sequence.